GACGUAGGUGGCGACCGUUAUCCGGAAUCAUUGGGCGUAAAGGGUGCGUAGAUGGCAUGAUAAGUUAUUAGUGGGAAAUCGAGGCUCAACCUCGUGGAAGCUAGUAAUACUGUUUUGCUUGAGUACAGAAGAGGUUAACGGAACUCCAUGUGGAGCGGUAAAAUGCGUAGAUAUAUGGAAGAACACCAAUAACGGCGAAGGCAGUUAACUAUUCCGUUACUGACAUUGAGGCACGAAAGCGUGGGGAGCAAAACGG
rnacentral:rRNA from 1 species